rnacentral:rRNA from 1 species
GAUCCUGGCUCAGAACGAACGUUGGCGGCGUGGAUUAGGCAUGCAAGUCGAACGAGAAAGGUCUUUUCGGAGACCGAGUAAAGUGGCGGACGGGUGAGUAAUGCAUAGAUAACCUGCCCUCGAGAUGGGGACAACGCCUCGAAAGGGGUGCUAAUACCCAAUGCCGCCUCGGCCUUGCGAGGCUGAGGUGAAAGGAGGCCUCUGAUUUAAGCUUCCGCUCAAGGAGGGGUUUAUGUACUAUUAGCUUGUUGGUGAGGUAACGGCUCACCAAGGCUACGAUGGUUAGCCGACCUGAGAGGGUGACCGGCCACAUUGGGACUGAGACACUGCCCAGACUCCUACGGGAGGCUGCAGUCGAGGAUCUUCCGCAAUGCGCGAAAGCGUGACGGAGCGACGCCGCGUGGGUGAUGAAGGCCUUCGGGUUGUAAAGCCCUGUCAGCUAUUAUGAAUCGCGGGCGAUGAAUAGUUGUCCCGCUUGACAAAAGUAGCAAAGGAAGCACCGGCUAACUACGUGCCAGCAGCCGCGGUAAUACGUAGGGUGCAAACGUUGUUCGGAAUCACUGGGCAUAAAGAGCGCGUAGGCGGUUUGGUAAGUCAGCUGUGAAAUCCCCCGGCUUAACCGGGGAACUGCAGUUGAUACUGCCUAGCUAGAGUGCAGGAGGGGAGAGUGGAAUUCCUGGUGGAGCGGUGAAAUGCGUAGAUAUCAGGAGGAACGCCGGUGGCGAAAGCGACUCUCUGGCCUGCUACUGACGCUGAGGCGCGAAAGCUAGGGGAGCAAACGGGAUUAGAUACCCCGGUAGUCCUAGCCCUAAACGAUGGGUACUAAGUAGAGGGAACUCCGAUGUUUUCUCUGCCGGAGCUAAUGUAUUAAGUACCCCGCCUGGGGAGUAUGGUCGCAAGGCUAAAACUCAAAGGAAUUGACGGGGGCUCACACAAGCGGUGGAGCAUGUUGUUCAAUUCGAAUCAACGCGAAGAACCUUACCUGGGUUUGACAUGCUUGGGACAGCCUAUGAAAGUAGGUUUCCUCUAUGAGGCCCUUGCACAGGUGUUGCAUGGCUGUCGUCAGCUCGUGUCGUGAGAUGUCGGGUUAAGUCCCAUAACGAGCGAAACCCUUGUCCCUAGUUGCCAGCGGGUCAUGCCGGGCACUUUAGGGAGACUGCCGGUGUUAAACCGGAGGAAGGAAGGGGAUGACGUCAAGUCAUCAUGGCCUUUAUGCCCAGGGCCACAAACGUGCCACAAUGGUCGGUACAAAGAGAAACAAGACCGAAAGGUGGAGCAAACCUCAAAAAGCCGAUCUCAGUCCGGAUUGGGGGCUGCAACUCGCCCUCAUGAAGCAGGAAUCGCUAGUAAUCGCGGAUCAGCUACGCCGCGGUGAAUGUGUUCCUGAGCCUUGUACACACCGCCCGUCAAGCCACCCAAGUAGGGCGCACCCGAAAUCGCUGACCCAACCUUCGGGAGGGAGGCGCUGAAGGUGAGCUUUGUGAGGG